CCUCCCUCCGGGGGCGGCAGGGCCAGGGCAGAGCCGGGGGCUGCCUCUCCUCUUUUUACCCCUCUCCCCAAUCCUAAAAUGAGCGCUUUUCUGGGCUCCCGGAGCUCCGAGGAAGGCGUAGCUAGAGAUAGCUUGCUCCCUCUCCCUCCCUCCCUCUCUCUCUCUCUCUCUCUCUCUCUCUCUCUCUCUCUCUCUCUCACUCUCUCUCCCCUGCCCUCCCCCCUUGGUGUUUCUUCCAGCUCAGCCUCCUUCUCAUUCCAUCUCUACGUGCCCAGAGCUUCAAAUACAACCCUCCCAUCACAAUCAGAUGGGCACAAAACUUCAACCAGCCGUUUCUCUGCCUGGAAGCGGUGAAAAUAUAGCCUGGAUGGAAGGGAAGGACUCCUACGAGGGGUGAUGGCUGUGGUCCUGGCACUUGGGAGAGGGUCCUGGUAUCCAUAGAGCAGAACCACAAUUUCAGCAACCUCUGCUAAGUGCUUGCUGCAACUUGACGUUUCAUGUGUAUUAUCUGAAGUCUCUCCUCGCCCACUGGCCAUCACCCAGGCUGUCAGAUCUCGUCGGUCUUGUUCAUUCCAGUAUCCCCAGUGCCUAGAAAGUGCCUGAAGUAUGCUGUCUGCUCAGAGGCCCAACUAACCACCCGCUAGAGAGGCCUGCCUGCUCUUCCUCCAACACCACUCCUUUACCUGCUGAAAUGUCCUUCUUAACCCUUAGCAGCAACCCCCACCUCCCACCUUGGAGGAGUGUACUCUGCCAUUUAUUUUCUCCACUUGACUGAGCAGGGAACCACAUCCAAAUAAGGAUCGGGUCUGGCUGUGUUAUUAUUAUCCUCCCUGCCUCUCUCCCAGUGUCCAGCACAUAGUAGGUGCUCAUUAAAAAAUGAGUGUGUGUCCUACUCAAGGAAACCCCCCGAACCAGUAGGGAGAGAGGCGGAAUGUCCAAGAGGAGGCAGGCAAUGGGAAUAUCCCAGGAGAGUUGGCCUGGGACCGUGCACAGGGAAGCCAACAAGGUCUCCAGGGGAAGAUGCUGGAGGUUUCUAGGAGGAGGCCGGUGGGACUUCCAAGCUUCCUGGGCAAAGGAGAACUUGGAGAGGUGACGGGCUGGAAGGACAAGGGAGGGCACUCCUCUCUGUGCAGAUUUCGGGCAGAUCAAGAAAGAGGGGCUUCUGACACUGAGAGUCAGGGCAGCCCAUACGCAGGCAGGUGGGCUGGGGGCCGGGGGCUCAGAUUCAGGCUUCCCAGCAGCGUGGCCUCCAGCAAGCAAUCAAACACUCCCGAAUCUCAGCUGGCCUGUCUGGAAAAUGGGGCAGCAUUGCCGGCCUCGACAUGCUAUCCUGAUAAUUAAAUGAAAUAAAAAAGUACUUCCAGUGACGACUCCACGGUUAAGCCCUAAAUAAAUAUUGGCUACACGUUGAGCUUCUGUUGGGUGUUAUGUGCUUUGAAUAAAACACAAAAAUGAAAAGGAUGUGGUUCCCUGCUCAGUCAAGUGGAGAGAGGAGUGGAAAGAGUGGCACUCAGGGUGGGGUGGAUGGAAGGCGGAGGCGGGCCCGCGGGCACCACCAGGAGGGCAAGGUGGUGCCGCCUGGGCCUUCAGCACCGGCAUCCGGGAGUUGGUGGCCGCUGAGCUGGGUCUUAAAGGAUGAGUGGAAGUGUAGGAGCAAAGCAGGCCAGCGAGGUGUUCUAGGCAAAGGAGCCGGAGGCCCAAAG